rnacentral:rRNA from 1 species
GAUGAACGCUGGCGGCGUGCCUAAUACAUGCCAGUCGAGCGAACAGACGAGGAGCUUGCUCCUCUGACGUUAGCGGCGGACGGGUGAGUAACACGUGGAUAACCUACCUAUAAGACUGGGAUAACUUCGGGAAACCGGAGCUAAUACCGGAUAAUAUAUUGAACCGCAUGGUGCAAUAGUGAAAGACGGUUUUGCUGUCACUUAUAGAUGGAUCCGCGCCGCAUUAGCUAGUUGGUAAGGUAACGGCUUACCAAGGCAACGAUGCGUAGCCGACCUGAGAGGGUGAUCGGCCACACUGGAACUGAGACACGGUCCAGACUCCUACGGGAGGCAGCAGUAGGGAAUCUUCCGCAAUGGGCGAAAGCCUGACGGAGCAACGCCGCGUGAGUGAUGAAGGUCUUCGGAUCGUAAAACUCUGUUAUUAGGGAAGAACAAAUGUGUAAGUAACUAUGCACGUCUUGACGGUACCUAAUCAGAAAGCCACGGCUAACUACGUG